AUAAUAAUAAAGCACAGGGAACAAAAACUUAACAUUUUUCUUCUUCUCCCUUACCUUCAGUGCUAUUAACUUCUGUUAAAUAAAUAAUUCUUAAGCAUCUCUGCACAACUCUUCUUGUGAGGAACCAAGAGAUGUAAAGACAAAUGUGCAAACAGAAGAAUGACUCAUCCUAAGAAAAGAGCCCAGUUGAAGAAGCUAUUCUAAGACAUUACACAGUCAUCAUUCCUAGAGGGUUACCUGACACUAAAUGGGGUUUCAUUCAUGAAACUGGAGUGCUGGCUGGGUCAGAAAGACAUGGCCUUUAUAGAGAAAGGAAAAUCCAGAAUGGCACACUUCUCUUCAUUUCUAAGAAGUACCUCGGAAAUAAACUACAGCAUCAUAUCUAACUUUUCUAGCCCUUGUCCAUUUACAUUAAUUACUAAUUGCCCCACAAUUUAUAAUUUUUAAAGAGUUCGCUGUUGCCUUUUAUAUAUUGACUACAUAUGUAUGAAUUCAACCCCCCACUUCUCUUCUCUUUGCUUGAAAAGACAAAUUUAUUUUUUGGCAAGAAAUUCAAGGCAAGUGAUUCCUUAUUCAUUGUCAGCUGUCAGUCACAAUUAGCAGAUCAGCGAUCAUACAAAUUUAUCAGUAAAAUAUUUUAUUCAGUGCUUGUAUUAAAUUGCUAGAGUAUUUGUCUUCUAUAUCUCUGGAACAUAAUCCUCCUAAAAUUGGCUUGCCCUUCUUAGAUAGAAUGCUCUACUGGAAAAAGCAGGGGGAAGAAGGAACACAUUAACAUUUAAGUUAUGAGGAAAAGAUUCUUUAAUUAUCACAUUUCCACUCAGAGGCAGCCCUGAGUAAUACAUUCAUUAAAAUCCAACAUUCCUAGGUCUCUUUUAGUCACUUUAUAACACUGACAGAAUUAUUACUUAAAAUUAGACUUCUCAUUUUCAUAUCAGGAGAGACAUCAACAUUAGUUUCCAUAUUAAACAUAAAAGUUAUUCAUACAUUCUACAACUGUAGAAAGCUUUUUAAAUGGAUUUAAGGUGAUAGAUGCAGGAUUGUCUGAACAUUUAUUUAAUAGAAAUUAUGAUUAUCGACCAAGUUAUAUUUUGGAAAGGCAAUCACUUCUUUACUGCAAUGCAGUAAUACAUUUUCCUAGUCUACCAAAAAUACUAUGUAUGAAAAAGUAUUUUACAGUACUUUUUAUAGUUCUACAGAGUACCACAUUACUACUUGUCAACAGGCAAUUGCAUAAUUCAACCUGCUGUAACUAUAAAACUAUAUCUUAGCUUGAUUAAACAAAGACACCACAAGUAUAUGUGUUGUACAUGUAUAUGUGUAUACAGAGACACCAGAGAUGAAAAUUAUAAUAUUUUAAAUGUUUAGCACAUAAAUAGUGUCUAUGCAGUGAAAAGAAAGCAGACCAUCUAAUGGGAAAUCAAACAGAUUCUGCUUUUAAUUUUCUAUUCCAUUUGGUGUAGGUUUUCAGAACAAUAUUUGUCUAUAGACAAAUACAAUGAAUUUUCUUCAGAGAAGUGACUGUAUUUUUAUGAUCUAACAUAGAAAAAACAUAAGGAGAGAGAAAUACUAUUCCAAAAAUGCUUCCUUAUCUUAAAUAAUGGUGUUUGUAGCAAGUGGUAGGUCUGCACUACUCAGGGGUCACAGAAUCCUGGCCUUUAACUGUGGCUGCCCCAUAUCCUAUUGGUCUUCCAGAGCUGAAGAAUCACUUUCUCAACGCAUGCAUGCCUCAUUCAUGGCACAUGGGUGGGAAGCUCUGACUUAAGAAAUGUUGGGAACAGCCCAGGUGGCUCAAUGGUUUAGCGUCUGCCUUCAGCCCAGGGCAUGAUCCUGGAGUCCCGGGAUCGAGUCCCAUGUCGGGCUCCCUGCAUAUGGAGCCUGCUUCUCCCUCUGCCUGUGUCUCUGCCUCUCUCUCUCUCUCUCUCUCUCUCUCUCUCUCUCUCUCUCUCUAUAUAUAUAUAUAUAUAUAUCUUUCAUGAAUAAAAAAAUAAAAUCUUUAAAAAAUAAUAAUUAA
rnacentral:lncRNA from 12 species